UGAGUUGUAGUUUAAUUGGAAAAACACCAUUUUUUGGUAGUGGACCUUAUCAGUUCAAAUCUGGUCAACUCAG
rnacentral:tRNA from 1 species